ACAACAUGUGUGGGGGCUCCUGUUCAAAUAGCAGCGGGCCGGCCCAGACCCCCGGUGCUGCCUUCAAGUGACGACAUGUAAUCUGAGAGGAGCCCGUGUAUUAUUAGCAGGACUCCUCGCGGACCACUCCAGUCAGCCCAAUGUUGCGUUCGCGGCACCAACUAAAGUGGAAAUUGAGUGUUCUCCACUACGAAGCUGCGGUAAAGACUUUUACCACUUUUUUUUUUUUUUUUUUUAAGUUUGAAAUGUGCUCAAGCCGCUUGAAGUAGUCGCUAUACGGACCCUUGUGCUGCUGAAGUGGUCGCGGAUUUAUUUUUAUUUUUUUUAAAGAGUGGCCAACAUGGCUUUACUGCACUUGCUGCUGUGCGCGGGGAUGUUGCCGGCGUGCGGAGCCCUCUACAGCGGUCCUCUACAACCGGAGAUGUCGAACGGCACCUUCCACCACUACUUCGUGCCGGACGGCGACUACGAGGAGAACGACGACCCGGAAAAAUGUCAGCUGCUGUUCCGGAUGACCGACCACCGGAAGUGCGGUCCGGACCCGGACCAGGACUCGGUCAUCCGCGACGACUUCACCAUCAUCAAGCGGCAGAUUGAAGACUCCGCGCGGGUGCUGGAGGUGGUCGGCAGGAGCGUCUCGUACGACCUGGACGGAGAGGACGGCUACGGGAAGUACCUGCGCCGGGAGACCACGCAGAUCAGCGAGGCCUUCACGAACUCCGAGAAGUCGCUGCUGGAGCUGGAGGUGAAGUUCAAGCAGAGCCAGGAAGGCGAGCUGAAGGAGGAACACCGGCUCGGCGACGACUUCCUCAAGAUGGUCGUCAACACCCGGGACGCCCUGAAGGAGACUUUGGACAUUUCUUUGGGGCUGAAGGACAAACAUGAGCUGCUCUCCCUCAUUGUCCGCAGCCACGGAACACGACUCAGCAGACUGAAGAAUGAAUACAUGAAGUACUGACACAGUAAUCCCUACUUUUUGUUUUACAGUCACACAUUUAUGAGCACAAACCCCACAUUUGGCCUUUCCAAAGGUAAAUACUCAGUUUUCAGUCAAACAUUUAUGAACAUAAUUCACAAAUUUGGCCUUUCCAAAGGUAAAUACUCAGUUUUCAGUGUGACAUUUAUGAACACAAACCCUGAAUUUGGCCUUUCCAAAGGUUAAAUACUCAGUUUUCAGUCAAAUUUUUUACCACAAACACCAAAGUUGGCCUUUCCAAAGGUAAAGUCAGUUUUCAGUCACACAUUUAUAACAAAAAAACCCAAAUUUGGCCUUUCCAAAGGUAAAAAGUCAGUUUUUAGUCACAUUUAUGACCACAAACCCCAAAUUUGGCCUUUCCAAAAGGUAAACACUCUGUUUUCAGUCACACAUUUAUUACCACAAACACCAAAUUUGGUCUUUCCAAAGGUAAAUAGUCAGAUUUCAAUCACACAUUUGUGAGCACAAACCCCAAAUUUGGUCUUUCCAAAAGGUAAAUAGUCAGAUUUCAAUCACACAUUUGUGAGCACAAACCCCAAAUUUGGCCUUUCCAAAGGUAAAUAGUCAAUUUUCAGUCACACAUUUAUGGCCACAAACCCCAAAUAUGGCCUUUCCAAAUGUAAAUAACGUAUGUCCUUGAAUUCCCGCCGGGGCGCUAGUUAAUUUAAAACCUCUUCUCACUCAUGCGCUUACCAAAGGCAUGCGGUAAAAGUAAGCAUGCGCUAAUUAUUUUAAAACCUCUUCUCACUCCGGUACUUACCAAAGGUAUGCAGUAAAAAUUUGAGUGUGAUGUAAGCUUGGACCUUAAAUCCCACUGAAUAGCUCUUAAUCUUCUUCCAUUUAUGCGAUUUCAAAUUACCAGUAUUGAAAUCGGCCUCCUCCGUUUUGAAAAUGAUGACAGGGGAAGUGUCACUCGUGACGUCACGAGUUUGACCAGGCGGUAAUACCAAGCAUGCGCUAAUUAUUUUGGGAAGAGAGUUUGACCCGGCAGUAAUUCAAGGCAGGCGCAUACUUUAUGCCCUGCGGCAAUUCAAGGAAAUACGGUACUCAGUUUUCAGUCACAAAGUUAUGAGCACAAACGCCAAAUUUGGCCAUUCCAAAGGUAAAUACUCAAUUUUCAGUCACACAUUUAUGAGCACAAAUCCCAAAAUGUGGCCCUUUUGAAGGUAAAUACUCAGUUUUCAGUCAUACAUUUAUGACCACAAAUCCUGAAUUUGGCCUUUCCAAAGGUAAAUACUCAGUUUUCAGUCACACAGUUAUGAGCACAAAGGCCAAAUUUGGCCUUUCCAAAAGGUAAAUACUCAGUUUUCAGUCACACAUUUGUGAGCACAAAUCCCAAAUUUUGCCUUUCCAAAGGUAAAUACUCAAUUUUCAGUCAGACAUUUGUGAACACGAAUCCCAAAUGUUGCCCUUCUGAAGGUAAAUACUCAGUUUUCAGUCAGACAUUUGUGAGCACAAACCCAAAAUGUUGCCUUUCCGAAGGUAAAUACUCAAUUUUCAGUCACACAUUUUGUGAGCACAAAUCCCAAAUUUGGCCUUUCCAAAAGGUGAAUACUCAGUUUUCAGUCACACGUUUGUGAGCACAAACCCCAAAUUUGGACUUUCCGAAGGUAAAUACUCUGUUUUCAGUCACAUAUUUGUGAGCACAAACCCCAAAUUUUACCUUUCCAAAGGUAAAUACUCAAUUUUUAGUCACACAUUUAUGACCACAAACCCUGAAUUUGGCCUUUCCAAAAGGUAAAUACUCAGAAUACUCAGUUUUCAGUCACACAUUUGUGAGCACAAAUCCCAAAUGUAACCUUACCUAAGGUAAAUACUUCGUUUUCAAUCACACAUUUGUGAGCACAAACCCCAAAUUUUGGCCUUUCGAAAGGUAAAUACUCAAUUUUCAGUCACACAUUUGUGAGCACAACCCCAAGUUUAGCCUUUCCGAAGGUAAAUACUCAGUUUUCAGUCACACAUUUAUGACCACAAACCUUGAAUUUGGCCUUUCCAAAGUGAAUACUCUGUUUUCAGUCACACAUUUGUGAGCACAAACCCCUAAUUUGGCCUUCACAAAGGUAAACUCUGUUUUAAGUCACACAUUUAUGUCCACAAACCCUGAAUUUGGCCUUUCAAAAUGGUAAAGCCAGUUUUCAGUCACACAUUUAUAACUGUUGUAAGCACAAUACCAAUGGGCGCAAUUUUCAAAAUGAGCAUUUUGCAAGUUUAAUGUCAAAUCAAAUCAAAUGUUUAUUGGAUUCAUCACAGUGUACAUCCACGACUAAACUACUGACUAAACUACUACCACAACUUGGUUUACUAUUUAUAAAAUAUAAUAAUGUAGGGUUACCUGGAACUUGAAAUAGGCCACCCGACCUAAAUCCACACUUCCCUCGCCAAACACCUUCGUUUCCCAACCCUCCCGCUUGGAUAAAUAGGCAUUGAUGCCAUCUACGCAGUUUUGGGAGACUGUUUUGCUGUUAGAUCGCGUCCAAAUUUGCAAAGUGCGCGAGAUUGGUGAAAUGCUUAUAACAUAACCACAAACUCCAAAUUUGGCCUUUCCAAAGGUAAAUAGUCAGUUUUUAGUCACAUUAAUGACCACAAACCCCAAAUUUGGCCUCUACAAAAGGUAAAUAGUCAGUUUUUAGUCACAUUUAUGACCACAAACCCCAAAUUUGGCCUUUACAAAAGGUAAAUAGUCAGUUUUUAGUCACAUUUAUGACCACAAACCCCAAAUUUGGCCUUUACAAAGGUAAACACUGUUUUCAGUCACACAUUUAUGACCACAAACCCUGAAUUUGGCCUUUACAAAGGUAAACACUGUUUUCAGUCACACAUUUAUGACCACAAACCCUGAAUUUGGCCUUUCCAAAAGUAAAUACUCAGUUUUCAGUCACACAUUUAUAACCACAAACCCCGAAUUUGGUCUUUCCAAAGGUAAAUUGUCAGUUUUCAGUCACAUUUAUAACCACAAACCCCGAAUUUGGUCUUUCCAAAGCUAAAUAGUCAGUUUUCAGUCACACAUUUAUGACCACAAACCCCAAAUUUGGUCUUUCCGAAGGUAAAUACUCAGUUUUAAAUGACACAAAUAUUGCUUUGUGGUGGAUUGCAGUGCUUUAUUUUGUUAGAUUCUACCCGCGUCCUUCAAGAGUCCGAGGCCAUGUCCAUUCAUUCAAAGAAGGUCACAGAUGGAAAUUACAGCGUCGGUCUCAACUGAACAUCAGCGUGCUACUACCGUCAACAAUUCUUCGUUUUUCCUAUAGUCCGUGAAAAACAAAGUCCAUCUGGUCCAUACAAACAUGGUCAUGGUCCAGUCUUCAUGGAGGUGGGGGUGAGUCCAAGGAAUUUUAGUCCGGGUGGCUUUUGCACAACAAGGCCUUCAGAAGGGCCACACAUUGAAAAAAAUUGUGAUAUUUUUCAUUUUCAAAACCAACACGAUAUUUAUUGUAACUCUUAGGGCUGCCCUCAAUGUUGGUGAAUAUUCAAGGUCCCACGGACGCAAAAAGAUCAUUAAAAUAUUUAAAAUAUAAGUCAUACAUUGAUGUUUUUAUUUACCUUUUACACCUAAAUAUCUAUAGAUCAACUUCAGAUGUAUUCAUUGCCAUUACUGUUUUUUUAAUAAUUCUUCGUUCUUCCUAUAGUUCUUGCUAAACAAAGUCCAUCUGGUCCGGACAAACGUGGUCAUGGUUAAGUCUCCAUGAAGGCGGGGUCGAGUCCAAGGAUUUUUAGUCCGGGUGGCUUUUGCACAACAAGGUCAUCAUAAGGGCCACACACUGAAAAAUGAGAGAAUGCGGGGGACCAUUUUGAUAUUUUUUGUUUUCAAAACCAACAAUAUUUAUUGUAACCCUUAGGUCUUCCCUCAACGUUGGGGAAUAUUAGAGGACUCAUGGACGCGAAAGGGUCAUUAAAAUGUUAAAAAUAAGGCCUAUAUUGAUGUUUUUAUUUACUUUUGACGCUUAAAUAUCUCUAAAUCAACUUCAGAUAUAUUCGCUGCCAUUACUUUUUUCAAAAAAAUUUUUAUGCCGUUUUGUUAAAUAGGAAAAUACAAAAUAUGCAAUAUUUUCACCCGCAAAUUGUUCAAAGUGGAGCCUAAAAUAGGUAAAUAAUUCAUGACAACAUUGGUUUUGGUUCAUUAUCACAUCUUGGGCAAUGUCAGUUUUAAAAACCAAAUCUGAUUAAAGCUUUCAGAUAUCCAAAAGGUAUUUUACUCAUAGAUGUGUUAAAAAAUAAGUCAUAUAUCAAUAUGUGCUAUUUUUAAUUUAAGCGCUAAAAUCUGUAGAUCAACUUCAGAUUUAUCCAUCAGUUAGAAAUGAGGAUUAUUUUUUGAGCAUUUCAGCAGUUUUAAGUUACAAAAACUGUUCGAAUGGCAGCUUUUGUCAUUAGAUUCAACAUCAAUCAAUCAACGUUUCUUUAUAUAGACCUUCAUCACAAGUGUCUCAAAGGGCUGCACAAGCCACAACAACAUCCUCGGCUCAUUGCAACAUUCUAUCUUCACAUUUCACCUUUUUGCUCUUUUAUUCCACUUUUUAAUGUAUUUUUUUCUUCGUAUAGUAUUAUUUUUAGAAUGUGCCCUGAGCAAUUAAAAAACAUGUGGACACCCCUGAUCUAUAGGAUGUGUAAUUAUCUUAUUAUUUCUGAGUUUAGGAGACACAGAGUCACCAUUCUCAGCCCUGUGCAGUGAUUAGAAAUAACAAUAACACUUUCAUAAUAUUCCGAAAACAAAACAAAAAUUGACGUGAAAUAAAAGUUUGACGUAACCUAAAUGAACCUGCUUAUAGGGUAUUUAAGUGUGUAUUUGCUACAAUAUUAUAACAAUUUGUUUUGGAUAUACUUAACAAGUCACAUUAAGGAACAUGAUUCAUACAAUAUGGUAUACAAAAAAAAAUCAAAAACUUGUCUUACCUGUUAGUAUACAUUUUUUAUGUAUUUAGAUCCCCCUCAAUCCUGAACAUUUUAAAUCAAAUAGCGGAGAUAUUUAUAAAAUAAUCUUGUCUUCUUUCAAUAUUGCUCCAAAUAGGUUGUUUACAAUUUGAGACUUUCUCCCUAAAUGGUGAAGGUUCUUCUAUCGUCUUGUUGUGGGGCAGACUGACUCGUACAUGCACAUGCAUCCUCCCCAGUUUCCAUUUUUAAUAAAAAGUAGCGUAUAGUUCUGACUUAUAUCCGUCAGUAGACUCAAUAUAGAAGCAGUAAAAAAACUACAACAUGGCUGACGGGGCGAUGACACAGUCAAAGGGGGCUUAGCCUGGAAUAGAGUUUCCCCACGUGAUUAAGACCGCCCACAAAACAUCCUAAAGAGACGGCCAGAAAGCGGCUAGAAGAUGGUCUGUAAAAAAAAUUAAAAAAAAAUGAUGCAUCAUUUUGACGACAAGGAAGUGUUUAAAAUCUAGAAACACAUCUUAGUAUGACACCUCCUGUGUUUAAAUAUUGCAUAACUGCGAUAAAUUAAUUUCCACUAAUUAGGCGUUAUUCAUUAUAAAUCAAAUAUUUUUAUAGUUGGGGCAUUAAAAACUGUCCAUGACCAUCUAAAUAGUUUUUUUUUUUUACAUUUUGAGAGCCCUGUACUAAUGAAAUAACACUCUAGAGUCACCUUUACACUCGCUUAAUCCAAUAUAGUAAUGCUACCUGAUGCAGAGCCAAUCACAGGCCACGAUACUGAACACAUCACGCUCUGAUUGCUUUGGGCCAGGGGUCACCAACGCGGUGCCCGCGGGCACCAGGUAGCCCGUAAGGACUAGACGAGUAGACCGCUGGCCUGUUCUAAAAAUAGCUCAAAUAGCAGCACUUACCAGUGAGCUGCCUCUAUUUUUAAAAUUUUAUUUAUUUACUAGCAAGCUGGUCUCGCUUUGCUCAACGUUUUUAAUUCUAAGAGAGACAAAACUCAAAUAGAAUUAGAAAAUCCGAGAAAAUAUUUAAAAGACUUGUUUAAAUAUAUAUAUUUUUUUUUUUUUUUACUUUGCUUCUUAUAACUUUCAGAAAGACAAUUAUGGAGAAAAAAAUACAACCUUAAAAAUUAUUUUAGGAUUUUUAAACACAUAUACCUUAUUACCUUUUAAAUUCCUUCCUCUUCUUUUCUGACAAUUUAAAUCAAUGUUCAAGUAUUUUUUUUUUUUAUUGUAAAGAAUAAUAACUACAUUUUAAUUUAAUUCUUCAUUUUAGCUUCUGUUUUUUCGACAAAAGAUAUUUGUGAAAUAUUUCUUCAAACUUAUGAGUAAAAUUCAAAAACAUUCUGGCAAAUCUAGAAAAUCUGUAGAAUCAAUUUUAAAUCUUAUUUCAAAGUCUUUUGAAUUUCUUUUAAAACAUUUGUUCUGGAAAAUCUAGAAGAAAUAAUGAUUUAUCUUUGUUAGAAAUAUAGCUUGGUCCAAUUUGUUAUAUAUUCCAACAAAGUGCAGAUUGGAUUUUUACCUAUUUGAAACAUGUCAUCAAAAUUCUAAAAUUAAUCUUAAUCAGGAAAAAUUACUAAUGAUGUUUCAUAAAUUCUUUUUUUAAUUUUUUCAAAAAGAUUCAAAUUAGCUAGUUUUUCUCUUCUUUUUUUCGGUAGAAUUUUGAAUUUUAAAGAGUAAAAAUUGAAGAUAAAUUAUGUUUCAAAAUUUAAUUUUCUUUUUUUUUUCAUGUUUUCUCCUCUUUUAAACCGUUCAUUUAAGUGUUUUUUUCAUAAUUUAUUCUCUACAAAAAACCUUCCGUAAAAGGAAAAAAAAAAUGUACGACGGAAUGACAGAGAGAAAUACCCAUUUUUUUAUAUAUAUAGAUUUAUUUAUUAAAGGUAAAUAGAGCAAAUUGGCUAUUUCUGGCAAUUUAUUUAAGUGUGUAUCAAACUGGUAGCCCUUCGCAUUAAUCAGUACCCAAGAAGUAGCUCUUGGUUUCAAAAAGGUUGGUGACCCCUAGUUUAAACUAUAGGUCACGGGUGCCCACAUACAGAAAAAUGAUACACUAAACGUAUUGUAAGUCCAAAAUAUGUAAAGAAAAAACAGCUUAUAUUUGAGUUUUUAGAAUAAAUAGUUGUCUUUGUAAAAACACAACUAUGAAAUAUUUUAAUAUGUCAUAGGGGCAAUAAAAAAAAUAGCUGUCCCCUAGGCUGCCCUUCUGAACACCCCUUUUUUCCAGUUAAACGCUCAGUCUCCGUCUUGAAAACACCUUAUUUCCUUACAAAGUAUUGUUUUAGUGUAAGCUCUGUCUUUCUUUUGUUUUUUAAAUUAGUUUAUGAAUAUUGUGCACUUUACAGUAUUAAUCCAGAAUCAAUCGGUGCUACUUUUCAUCAUUACAUGACUAACAAUAUUUGGCUGCUAAAGGACACAAUGGUAAUUUCACUCUUGAUUAGUUGAGAACAAGUCCCUGAAUUCUGCGACAUAUUGUAAGGUUUACAACGCACACUGCCCCGUAAAGCGAUACGUUUGUGUAUGGAAGCGUAAACGACCUGUGUUGUGUUUCAUAAUGCUACACCAUGGCCACACGGGUGUUCUAAAACUGCACCUUUUGUUGUGUUGCCUUUUUUUUUUUUUUUCUUAGGUCAGUCGGUUUAGGACUGCGGGUUUUACUGUAAAACAACUUCAAAAAGGAGUUCUGGAAGCAUAACUACAGAGUAAGACAGUAUGUGCUAGCUGGAGUACUUUGUGACCCUAAAAACAAAGUCAUUGAGGACACAUUUUCUGGAACACAAAGGAAACAGAAGCAGAAAUCCAAUAUUUCCUGAUAUAUAUAUAUAUAUAUAUAUAUAUAUAUAUAUAUAUAUAUAUAUAUAUAUAUAUAUAUAUAUAUAUAUAUAUAUAUACAGUAUCUAUAUUUAUAUAUGUUAAUAUGUAUAUAUACAUAUGUAUGUGUGUAUGUGUUAUACAGUGCUCAAUACCGGGGUAAAGCAGACUAUACGUUAGGUCAGGAAAAAAACACACAGGCUAUUUCAUCCCUACAAGCCAGUUUCGCAAGUUUCCCUGCUCUUCAGGGGAUUUCCUGAUGGUGAACUAUGCCUGGGCAGAGCGAAGCCAUAGGAAACUCUGAUGGAGGCCCACAGUGGUCCGAACGUGCAAAUAAGUCGUACGACCUGGGUAUAAGGGCGAAAGACUAAUCGAACCAUCUGUUUCGCAGGUUUCCCUGCUCUUCAGGGAAUUUCCUGAUGGUGAACUGUGCCUGGGCAGGGCAAAGCCAGAGGAAACUCUGAUGGAGGCCCACAUUGGUCCUAACGUGAAAAUCGGUCGUACGGCCUGGGUAUAAGGGCGAAAGACUAAUCGAACCAUCUGUUUUGCAGGUUUCCCUGCUCUUCGAGAAAUCCCUUGAAGGGCAGGGAAACCUGCGAAAUAGGCUUGUAGGGAUAAAAUAGCCACUGUUUUUCCUGAUCUAACUUGUAUAUAUAUAAUAGUCGAGGUUACUGGUCUAUCGGUUAUACAGUGCCCAAUACCGGAGUGUAUAUGUAUGUAUAUAUAUAUAUAUAUAUAUAUAUAUAUGGAUUAUUUCCAUGGUAUGAUGGAGUGUUUACAUAAGAGUAUAAAUACGAUUUUGCUUCACAGGCCAGCAGACAAAGCUCAGUUCAUGUUCUGGUGCUAAAUGUUUAGCUCAAAAUGCAAGGCGGACAGAACCAAUAUAGAAAUGUAUUCCUGCGACUAAGUACUACGUAAAAUACUGCGCGUGCCAGUACCCAUAUUACAGAAUGUGUAUUCAUUGUUUAUGUAAGGUUUUGAAAAAGAGCAGCAUAUUUGUAUUUUUUAAAUGUAACACUUUCGAUAUUAUAUAUUAUAUAGAUGAAGACUGCUGGCAGCACUCGUCAAACACUCGUUUGUGUGACAACAUUAACAGAAUGUGUUGUGUUUUCUCCAAUAAAGAGAUUGUGAUCCAA